UACGGAGGGUGCACGCGUUAUCCGGAUUCACUGGGUUUAAAGGGUGCGUAGGUGGAUUGGUAAGUCAGUGGUGAAAUCUUUGGGCUUAACCUGAAAACUGCCAUUGAUACUAUCAGUCUUGAAUACCGUGGAGGUCAGCGGAAUAUGUCAUGUAGCGGUGAAAUGCUUAGAUAUGACAUAGAACACCAAUUGCGAAGGCAGCUGGCUACACGAGCAUUGACACUCAGGCACGAAAGCGUGGGGAUCAAACAGG
rnacentral:rRNA from 1 species